UGGGUCAGACCCACCUGGAAUUCCAUUCCAGCCUUCAGGUGGCACAAGUCACCUGAGCGGGAGGGUCCCGGGGCUGGCAGGAUGGGGAGAGAAGGAGCCUUGUUCCUUCGGCCCGAGGAGGGGCCUCCAUCCUGGUUCAGGACACGCUUCUCUUCUAAAAAAGAAUAAAUGAGUCACGUGUGACAAGUCACCCAAAGGAACUCAGCUUCAAUCAGCCACUUCAAAUUCUCCAUGGGACAGAAAAGAUAUAUUAAACAGACACAUUUAAAAUAUCCUGCUUAUAAGGCUGAAGACUGAACUCCAGACUGCUCCAUAUGAAGAUCUCCAGAUUUAAAACACAGAGACCCAUUCUGCAAGGAAAAGGGGCUCCCAGGAGCUUCAGAAGAGAGCCAGCACCACGCAGCCUGCUAUGCACAAAAGGGUGAAACAGCUGACUCUCAGGAAGGCUGGCUGGACUUGAUGGCAUGAGGGGACCCCUGUGGGCUGACACCUGGGGUGUGAUGCUGUUGCUGUCCUUGGCCCCUGUGGGCCACAGAGGCGCCAGCCCUGGCACCAGGCUGCUGGUUCGUUCCCAGGACUGGGCCCUAACGGGGUGGGUGGAGCAGCCUCCAUCUUCCUGUCUGGACCUGCCACCUCUCCUUCUCUCUCCUCCCAUCACCCCACACCAGCAGCUGUGUUCUCAACUGCAGGCAUUUCUGCCUACUGCCAUGGUUUGGAUCUCAGGAUACCUUGAGGCUGUGUGUCCCCAGGAUGGCAGGCACUGUUAGGAGUUGGUGGGACUUUAGGAAAGGGAUGUGGGGGGGUCUUUGGGCAUUGGGAGGCCUUGAAGGGGAUACAAGGACUCCACCCAUCCCUCACUCUCUCUUUUGUCCCCAGACCUCAGGUGAGCAGUUUUGCUGCUGUGUCAUAUACCCAGUCAUAGAUGCUGCCACAAAAGCAACAGGACCAGCUGAUCCCCAGUCAGCAUCUCCAAGACCUUGACCAGAAUACAGUGGUCAAUUAUCUCGGGUAUCUGGGACAGCAAUAGGGAGGGUGAUAUACCUCAAGGGGCGCUGGGUAAUGUCUGAGCCUGUUACUGGCUGUCAUGCCUCUGGGAAGGAGGGAGCUACUGGCACCGGGAGCAGAGGCCAGAGUGCUAAACCUCCCGGGCACUGAGCAGCAGCACGGCAGAGACUGACCCAGCCCUGGGGCCUGUCAUACGGCUGGUGAGAAACCUGCCCCAAGUAUCUCUGUUCCCUGCCCUUGAAUCAUCUGUGGUUGGCUCUGGUGUCUACUCCUCCACACUUCUGACCUCUCUUUACACACACUGCUGGCCGACCUGCACCCGUGCUGGUUUCAUGCCCUUCCCAGCCGAGAAUGCCAUAGUCUUCCCAAGCUCUCAGGACAGAUCUCAGAGCCCUGAAGUCUGCUAUUGGCCCUGCACGGUGUGACCUUUGCCAAGGUCACUGCCCCUCCCCUUUCUGUGCCCGGGGGUGGGGUGCUGGCUGUGGCCUCUUCCAGCCAGGGGAAGUGGUGGCUUCACCUUUCGUCAGGUCCUGGGAACUUCCUGCUCCUGAGGCCUGGAAGGCUCACACUUUCCCUCCUGUGCCUUUAUCAGCUCUGUUCCUCUUGCGGGUCACAGCCCAAAUGUUCCUUUGCAGGGAGAUUGGCUGGUGAUGUCUGCUGUCUGGGAAGCAUGCUGUGUUUUGUAUGUGCAGCACUUACAUUGAAAAGGCUGUGCAUUUUGUUGCUGAAAGUCUACUUCUUCUAAAAGGUCAGCUCCACAGGGCCAGGGGCUGAAUCCCCAGAGCCCACUGGGGUUUGCAGUUAGCAGAAUCUCAAGUGACUCUCAGCACAGGAGUGAAACCCUGCAUACAGGGCUAGUAGGUUUCCAGCAUUCAGCGGCCCCAGUAACUAUACUCCACAAACUGCUGACUGUACCCACAACCUUGGAUCUGCAUUUGUUCAGCCUGCCUGGGAGAGGUGUUAGGAGUCUGGGUGGGUUCCUGCCCUUGCCAUCCAGGCCACAUAGAUGUUCUUCAGAGGGGUGUUUCUCUACUUUCCUUCAGUUUCUGCCAUAUUUGCAAGGACAGGUGAAGGUGCUAACCCAUUUCCUCACCACCAAGCUGCCCCUGGAGACCCUGUAGGGGUCUGGGAUGGAGAGUAAAUGUGCAGACUCCCUGCCUCCUGAGGAAUGUUUACAGGUCUCCCUCGUACUUCAUUUCUCCUGCCAUUCACACUUGUUCUACCGACAGUUCUGCUCUUCAGAGCCUUGAGGUGUCACUAAGGAUUCUUGUUGGACAGACUCCCUGUCUUGACACCUGCCAAGAGAGUAGCAAGAAGUCACAGGAGUGAUUCUGAGCUCUGAUGGAGAAAUGGGUGACACAGCACGAGGGGGACCCCAACAUCUCGCAGACCCUGAGGGAGCGCGCUGAGGGUCAGAGCACCAAUACCAGGACUUAUCCAGAGUGUUGAGGGUGAGGCAGAAAACCAGUCUGAACACUAGGUCUGGGGCAGGCGGUGUCCAGUGGUAGCAGUGCGAACCAGUAGCAGUGCGAACCAGUAGCAGUGGUGGAGAAGGCAGUUACUUCUGGACAAAUCGGCUGACAUCGCCGAGCCUGUGUCUUCCUAGAAAUGGGGUGGCAGUGGCGCCUGCUGCCCUGGGCUACUGUGAGAAUUGAGAAGUAGGCCGAAAGGUCAGCGAGUGUUGGUGCUGCACAGCCAUUUGCCCCUUUCCAGAACCCCGACCCACAGGCUGCGUCUUAGUUCUCACUUUGCACGGUUUCAGCUCCAGAUUAGGAAUUUUAGAGCUAGAAGGGGGAAAUGGAGCCCAGGCUCUGCAGUUUAGAUCUUGAGUGUCCCCUGUGAAGGUUUAUAUCCCAAGUGGAGCUUUCAGAAGGCGGUUGGAGCAUGGGGGCUCUGAUGUCAUUGCUGGACCCAUUCAAUGGUAUUAUUGGGAAGGGAUGGGACUUUAGGGGAUGGGGCUUGGUCAAAGGGAGCAGGUCUUGGGGCUGUAACCUUGGAACUAUAUCUGGUCCCUGGCCCCUUCCUCCUCGCUCUUUCCCCCUCUCUUCUUCCUGGCAGCCGUGAGGUGAGCAGCUCUCCUCUGCCAUGACUGUCUGCCAUGAUGCUUCUUCCUCACCACAGCCCUACAGCCAGGGAGCCCUCUGAAACCUCUGAGACUAUGAACCAAGCUCUGGCUCCAUCAUUUCUUGCAACCACGUCCAGGUGGAUCAUCUUCAGCACUGCCCAUCUCAACCCUGAACCCAUCUCCUCCUGGGAAGUCAAUCGGCAAGUUGUCAGCACUGGCCUCAGCAGGAAGCUUUCGUCCCUCAACUCUUCCUGCCAAAAGCUCGGCAAAGCCCACUCCGUCUGGCCUGGUAUUCUGUUGUGCUUCCUGUCUUCUUCCCACUAGGUUUGCUUCCUGAACACAGCCCCUCCUUUGCACACUCCAGAGAGCUGUAUGUAGGCUUUAGGAGAGCUUCCUAGACCUUGGCUUCUUGCCUGCCAGGCCCUUGGUUGCUUCCCUCACAACCUCCAGAGGAAGAAUCCAUGCUCUUCCUUUGGAAACACAUGGGCCAUCUGGGGCCAAUGCUAGUCAUGUCCUUUGGACAGUGUGUCUGGAUUUCCCUCCAGGCCCAGGGUUUGGACAGCACACGAUUGUUCCUGCAGGCUCUACCUACCCUCUUGAAAGGGCCAUUUGGACCCCACCUGCUCCGGGGAGGUAUAGAGAAGCAGAACUCCUCUUCUCCCAACCUCAGAAUUCGACCAAAAGAAGGCACAGUGACCCUGUAGGUUACAUGGGCUUGUGAGACAAAAUCAGGAUUCAAAAAGAGCUUGACAAGCGAAGCCUCCAGGCAGUCUUGUCCUCAUCUGCAUGGUCGCAUGCUCACCUGCAGGAUGAGGAAUAGUUAGCUUUGUAACAUCACCUGAGACACAUACACCGAGCUCUUAGUGCAUUUUCUAGAUGGCUGUCUCCAUGCGAGUCAUCAGUUUGUGAGAUAACUGAGCUCAGACUGCGUUUACACAGCACAGGACUGGGAGGCAGAGGGAAGUGUCAGCUCCGCUGCACGCCGUGCUGGUGGGCUGCACCUGCAACGCGGGUCUAUUCUCAGUAGCCACGUGUUUAGGAAACUAUAAAUAACCCAGAACACAACACCAAAGCCAAAGCACUUACCUUGUUGAGGGCCCAGAGAAUGCUCAGGGCACAGGGGUAGAGGUUUGGGAGCUGUAAAAUGUGUCUUCCCAUGUGUCCUGGGCCAUCAUGGAAUGCUGGUUUACAGGAUCCCAAGGGACUGAUAGUCGGGUAGAAUUUCAUGAGAAGACCUGCGAAUCAAACAGCCCCAAAUGCAGCUGCCAGCAUUGGCAGGAAGAGAGCAUCUCUCUCACGGAAGGAGUCAGCACUGGCAGAGGGCCACACGCUGGGCUGUGGCAGAGGCAAGUGAAGCUUCGGGGGCUGGGGUGUGUGCCUUCUUACAUGCCCUUGCAGCUCUGACACUUUCUGAUUCUACGUCUUCCAAAGCCAGAUCUUCACUGAAGAGAAGGACUGUGUAAAGAAUGUUAUUCACACACACGUGUAAAUAUUGUUUUGUCUCUCUGGUAUGGGAAACUGAAAGGUAAAUAAGGACAAAAAUGUAUAAUAAAAUGAAAUAGGA
ensembl:lncRNA